UGCAAGUCGAACGAUGAUCCCAGCUUGCUGGGGGAUUAGUGGCGAACGGGUGAGUAACACGUGAGUAACCUGCCCUUGACUCUGGGAUAAGCCUGGGAAACUGGGUCUAAUACCGGAUAUGACUGUCUGACGCAUGUCAGGUGGUGGAAAGCUUUUGUGGUUUUGGAUGGACUCGCGGCCUAUCAGCUUGUUGGUGGGGUAAUGGCCUACCAAGGCGACGACGGGUAGCCGGCCUGAGAGGGUGACCGGCCACACUGGGACUGAGACACGGCCCAGACUCCUACGGGAGGCAGCAGUGGGGAAUAUUGCACAAUGGGCGCAAGCCUGAUGCAGCGACGCCGCGUGAGGGAUGACGGCCUUCGGGUUGUAAACCUCUUUCAGUAGGGAAGAAGCGAAAGUGACGGUACCUGCAGAAGAAGCGCCGGCUAACUACGUGCCAGCAGCCGCGGUAAUACGUAGGGCGCAAGCGUUAUCCGGAAUUAUUGGGCGUAAAGAGCUCGUAGGCGGUUUGUCGCGUCUGCUGUGAAAGACCGGGGCUCAACUCCGGUUCUGCAGUGGGUACGGGCAGACUAGAGUGCAGUAGGGGAGACUGGAAUUCCUGGUGUAGCGGUGAAAUGCGCAGAUAUCAGGAGGAACACCGAUGGCGAAGGCAGGUCUCUGGGCUGUAACUGACGCUGAGGAGCGAAAGCAUGGGGAGCGAACAGGAUUAGAUACCCUGGUAGUCCAUGCCGUAAACGUUGGGCACUAGGUGUGGGGGACAUUCCACGUUUUCCGCGCCGU
rnacentral:rRNA from 1 species